rnacentral:rRNA from 1 species
UGGGGAAUUUUGGACAAUGGGCGCAAGCCUGAUCCAGCAAUGCCGCGUGCAGGAUGAAGGCCUUCGGGUUGUAAACUGCUUUUGUACGGAGCGAAAAGGUCUGCCCUAAUACGGUGGGCUCAUGACGGUACCGUAAGAAUAAGCACCGGCUAACUACGUGCCAGCAGCCGCGGUAAUACGUAGGGUGCGAGCGUUAAUCGGAAUUACUGGGCGUAAAGCGUGCGCAGGCGGUUACAUAAGACAGAUGUGAAAUCCCCGGGCUCAACCUGGGACCUGCAUUAGUGACUGUAUAGCUAGAGUACGGUAGAGGGGGAUGGAAUUCCGCGUGUAGCAGUGCAAUGCGUAGAUAUGCGGAGGAACACCGAUGGCGAAGGCAAUCCCCUGGACCUGUACUGACGCUCAUGCACGAAAGCGUGGGGAGCAAACA